rnacentral:rRNA from 1 species
GGGUUGUGAGGUUAAGCGACUAAGCGUACACGGUGGAUGCCCUGGCAGUCAGAGGCGAUGAAGGACGUGCUAAUCUGCGAAAAGCGNNNNNNNNNNNNNNNNNNNNNNNNNNNNNNNNNNNNCACUAUCGUUAACUGAAUACAUAGGUUAACGAGGCGAACCGGGGGAACUGAAACAUCUAAGUACCCCGAGGAAAAGAAAUCAACCGAGAUUCCCCCAGUAGCGGCGAGCGAACGGGGAGCAGCCCGGAGUCUGAAUCAGCUUGUGUGUUAGUGGAACGGUCUGGAAAGUCCGACGGUACAGGGUGAUAGUCCCGUACACGAAAACACACUUGCUGUGAACUCGAAGAGUAGGGCGGGACACGUGGUAUCCUGUCUGAAUAUGGGGGGACCAUCCUCCAAGGCUAAAUACUCCUGACUGACCGAUAGUGAACCAGUACCGUGAGGGAAAGGCGAAAAGAACCCCGGCGAGGGGAGUGAAAAAGAACCUGAAACCGUGUACGUACAAGCAGUGGGAGCCUCUUUAUGGGGUGACUGCGUACCUUUUGUAUAAUGGGUCAGCGACUUAUAUUCUGUAGCAAGGUUAACCGUAUAGGGGAGCCGAAGGGAAACCGAGUCUUAACUGGGCGUUAAGUUGCAGGGUAUAGACCCGAAACCCGGUGAUCUAGCCAUGGGCAGGUUGAAGGUUGGGUAACACUAACUGGAGGACCGAACCGACUAAUGUUGAAAAAUUAGCGGAUGACCUGUGGCUGGGGGUGAAAGGCCAAUCAAACCGGGAGAUAGCUGGUUCUCCCCGAAAGCUAUUUAGGUAGCGCCUCGUGAACUCAUCUUCGGGGGUAGAGCACUGUUUCGGCUAGGGGGCCAUCCCGGCUUACCAACCCGAUGCAAACUACGAAUACCGAAGAAUGUUAUCACGGGAGACACACGGCGGGUGCUAACGUCCGUCGUGAAGAGGGAAACAACCCAGACCGCCAGCUAAGGUCCCAAAGUCAUGGUUAAGUGGGAAACGAUGUGGGAAGGCACAGACAGCCAGGAUGUUGGCUUAGAAGCAGCCAUCAUUUAAAGAAAGCGUAAUAGCUCACUGGUCGAGUCGGCCUGCGCGGAAGAUGUAACGGGGCUAAACCAUGCACCGAAGCUGCGGCAGCGACACUAUGUGUUGUUGGGUAGGGGAGCGUUCUGUAAGCCGUUGAAGGUGUGCUGUGAGGCAUGCUGGAGGUAUCAGAAGUGCGAAUGCUGACAUAAGUAACGAUAAAGCGGGUGAAAAGCCCGCUCGCCGGAAGACCAAGGGUUCCUGUCCAACGUUAAUCGGGGCAGGGUGAGUCGACCCCUAAGGCGAGGCCGAAAGGCGUAGUCGAUGGGAAACAGGUUAAUAUUCCUGUACUUGGUGUUACUGCGAAGGGGGGACGGAGAAGGCUAUGUCAGCCGGGCGACGGUUGUCCCGGUUUAAGCAUGUAGGCGGAGGUUCCAGGUAAAUCCGGUACCUUUUAACGCUGAGGUGUGAUGACGAGGCACUACGGUGCUGAAGUGAUAAAUGCCCUGCUUCCAGGAAAAGCCUCUAAGCAUCAGGUAACACGAAAUCGUACCCCAAACCGACACAGGUGGUCAGGUAGAGAAUACCAAGGCGCUUGAGAGAACUCGGGUGAAGGAACUAGGCAAAAUGGUGCCGUAACUUCGGGAGAAGGCACGCUGAUAUGUAGGUGAAGUCCCUGCGGACGGAGCUGAAAUCAGUCGAAGAUACCAGCUGGCUGCAACUGUUUAUUAAAAACACAGCACUGUGCAAACACGAAAGUGGACGUAUACGGUGUGACGCCUGCCCGGUGCCGGAAGGUUAAUUGAUGGGGUUAGCGGCAACGCGAAGCUCUUGAUCGAAGCCCCGGUAAACGGCGGCCGUAACUAUAACGGUCCUAAGGUAGCGAAAUUCCUUGUCGGGUAAGUUCCGACCUGCACGAAUGGCGUAAUGAUGGCCAGGCUGUCUCCACCCGAGACUCAGUGAAAUUGAACUCGCUGUGAAGAUGCAGUGUACCCGCGGCAAGACGGAAAGACCCCGUGAACCUUUACUAUAGCUUGACACUGAACACUGGUCCUUGAUGUGUAGGAUAGGUGGGAGGCUUUGAAGCGUGGACGCCAGUCUGCGUGGAGCNNAUCCGGGUUGCGGACAGUGUCUGGUGGGUAGUUUGACUGGGGCGGUCUCCUCCCAAAGAGUAACGGAGGAGCACGAAGGUUGGCUAAUCCUGGUCGGACAUCAGGAGGUUAGUGCAAUGGCAUAAGCCAGCUUGACUGCGAGCGUGACGGCGCGAGCAGGUGCGAAAGCAGGUCAUAGUGAUCCGGUGGUUCUGAAUGGAAGGGCCAUCGCUCAACGGAUAAAAGGUACUCCGGGGAUAACAGGCUGAUACCGCCCAAGAGUUCAUAUCGACGGCGGUGUUUGGCACCUCGAUGUCGGCUCAUCACAUCCUGGGGCUGAAGUAGGUCCCAAGGGUAUGGCUGUUCGCCAUUUAAAGUGGUACGCGAGCUGGGUUUAGAACGUCGUGAGACAGUUCGGUCCCUAUCUGCCGUGGGCGCUGGAGAAUUGAGGGGGGCUGCUCCUAGUACGAGAGGACCGGAGUGGACGCAUCACUGGUGUUCGGGUUGUCAUGCCAAUGGCACUGCCCGGUAGCUAAAUGCGGAAGAGAUAAGUGCUGAAAGCAUCUAAGCACGAAACUUGCCCCGAGAUGAGUUCUCCCUGAGACUUUAAGUCUCCUGAAGGAACGUUGAAGACGACGACGUUGAUAGGUCGGGUGUGUAAGCGCAGCGAUGCGUUGAGCUAACCGAUACUAAUGAACCGUGAGGCUUAACCUUACAACGCCGAAG